rnacentral:rRNA from 1 species
UUAAGCGACUAAGCGUACACGGUGGAUGCCCUGGCAGUCAGAGGCGAUGAAGGACGUGCUAAUCUGCGAUAAGCGUCGGUAAGGUGAUAUGAACCGUUAUAACCGGCGAUUUCCGAAUGGGGAAACCCAGUGUGAUUCGUCACACUAUCAUUAACUGAAUCCAUAGGUUAAUGAGGCGAACCGGGGGAACUGAAACAUCUAAGUACCCCGAGGAAAAGAAAUCAACCGAGAUUCCCCCAGUAGCGGCGAGCGAACGGGGAGCAGCCCAGAGCCUGAAUCAGUGUGUGUGUUAGUGGAAGCGUCUGGAAAGGCGCGCGAUACAGGGUGACAGCCCCGUACACAAAAAUGCACAUGCUGUGAGCUCGAUGAGUAGGGCGGGACACGUGGUAUCCUGUCUGAAUAUGGGGGGACCAUCCUCCAAGGCUAAAUACUCCUGACUGACCGAUAGUGAACCAGUACCGUGAGGGAAAGGCGAAAAGAACCCCGGCGAGGGGAGUGAAAAAGAACCUGAAACCGUGUACGUACAAGCAGUGGGAGCCUCUUUAUGGGGUGACUGCGUACCUUUUGUAUAAUGGGUCAGCGACUUAUAUUCUGUAGCAAGGUUAACCGAAUAGGGGAGCCGAAGGGAAACCGAGUCUUAACUGGGCGUUAAGUUGCAGGGUAUAGACCCGAAACCCGGUGAUCUAGCCAUGGGCAGGUUGAAGGUUGGGUAACACUAACUGGAGGACCGAACCGACUAAUGUUGAAAAAUUAGCGGAUGACUUGUGGCUGGGGGUGAAAGGCCAAUCAAACCGGGAGAUAGCUGGUUCUCCCCGAAAGCUAUUUAGGUAGCGCCUCGUGAAUUCAUCUCCGGGGGUAGAGCACUGUUUCGGCA